rnacentral:rRNA from 1 species
GGCUGGGGGUGAAAGGCCAAUCAAACCGGGAGAUAGCUGGUUCUCCCCGAAAGCUAUUUAGGUAGCGCCUCGUGAAUUCAUCUCCGGGGGUAGAGCACUGUUUCGGCAAGGGGGUCAUCCCGACUUACCAACCCGAUGCAAACUGCGAAUACCGGAGAAUGUUAUCACGGGAGACACACGGCGGGUGCUAACGUCCGUCGUGAAGAGGGAAACAACCCAGACCGCCAGCUAAGGUCCCAAAGUCAUGGUUAAGUGGGAAACGAUGUGGGAAGGCCCAGACAGCCAGGAUGUUGGCUUAGAAGCAGCCAUCAUUUAAAGAAAGCGUAAUAGCUCACUGGUCGAGUCGGCCUGCGCGGAAGAUGUAACGGGGCUAAACCAUGCACCGAAGCUGCGGCAGCGACACUAUGUGUUGUUGGGUAGGGGAGCGUUCUGUAAGCCUGUGAAGGUGGCCUGUGAGGGUUGCUGGAGGUAUCAGAAGUGCGAAUGCUGACAUAAGUAACGAUAAAGCGGGUGAAAAGCCCGCUCGCCGGAAGACCAAGGGUUCCUGUCCAACGUUAAUCGGGGCAGGGUGAGUCGACCCCUAAGGCGAGGCCGAAAGGCGUAGUCGAUGGGAAACAGGUUAAUAUUCCUGUACUUGGUGUUACUGCGAAGGGGGGACGGAGAAGGCUAUGUUGGCCGGGCGACGGUUGUCCCGGUUUAAGCGUGUAGGCUGGUUUUCCAGGCAAAUCCGGAAAACCAAGGCUGAGGCGUGAUGACGAGGCACUACGGUGCUGAAGCGACAAAUGCCCUGCUUCCAGGAAAAGCCUCUAAGCAUCAGGUAACAUCAAAUCGUACCCAAAACCGACACAGGUGGUCAGGUAGAGAAUACCAAGGCGCUUGAGAGAACUCGGGUGAAGGAACUAGGCAAAAUGGUGCCGUAACUUCGGGAGAAGGCACGCUGAUAUGUAGGUGAAGCGACUUGCUCGUGGAGCUGAAAUCAGUCGAAGAUACCAGCUGGCUGCAACUGUUUAUUAAAAACACAGCACUGUGCAAACACGAAAGUGGACGUAUACGGUGUGACGCCUGCCCGGUGCCGGAAGGUUAAUUGAUGGGGUUAGCGGUAACGCGAAGCUCUUGAUCGAAGCCCCGGUAAACGGCGGCCGUAACUAUAACGGUCCUAAGGUAGCGAAAUUCCUUGUCGGGUAAGUUCCGACCUGCACGAAUGGCGUAAUGAUGGCCAGGCUGUCUCCACCCGAGACUCAGUGAAAUUGAACUCGCUGUGAAGAUGCAGUGUACCCGCGGCAAGACGGAAAGACCCCGUGAACCUUUACUAUAGCUUGACACUGAACAUUGAGCCUUGAUGUGUAGGAUAGGUGGGAGGCUUUGAAGUGUGGACGCCAGUCUGCAUGGAGCCGACCUUGAAAUACCACCCUUUAAUGUUUGAUGUUCUAACGUUGGCCCGUAAUCCGGGUUGCGGACAGUGUCUGGUGGGUAGUUUGACUGGGGCGGUCUCCUCCUAAAGAGUAACGGAGGAGCACGAAGGUUGGCUAAUCCUGGUCGGACAUCAGGAGGUUAGUGCAAUGGCAUAAGCCAGCUUGACUGCGAGCGUGACGGCGCGAGCAGGUGCGAAAGCAGGUCAUAGUGAUCCGGUGGUUCUGAAUGGAAGGGCCAUCGCUCAACGGAUAAAAGGUACUCCGGGGAUAACAGGCUGAUACCGCCCAAGAGUUCAUAUCGACGGCGGUGUUUGGCACCUCGAUGUCGGCUCAUCACAUCCUGGGGCUGAAGUAGGUCCCAAGGGUAUGGCUGUUCGCCAUUUAAAGUGGUACGCGAGCUGGGUUUAGAACGUCGUGAGACAGUUCGGUCCCUAUCUGCCGUGGGCGCUGGAGAACUGAGGGGGGCUGCUCCUAGUACGAGAGGACCGGAGUGGACGCAUCACUGGUGUUCGGGUUGUCAUGCCAAUGGCACUGCCCGGUAGCUAAAUGCGGAAGAGAUAAGUGCUGAAAGCAUCUAAGCACGAAACUUGCCCCGAGAUGAGUUCUCCCUGACUCCUUGA